rnacentral:rRNA from 1 species
GACGAACGCUGGCGGCGUGCUUAACACAUGCAAGUCGAACGGAAAGGCCCUGCUUUUGUGGGGUGCUCGAGUGGCGAACGGGUGAGUAACACGUGAGUAACCUGCCCUUGACUUUGGGAUAACUUCAGGAAACUGGGGCUAAUACCGGAUAGGAGCUCCUGCUGCAUGGUGGGGGUUGGAAGGUUUCGGCGGUGGGGGAUGGACUCGCGGCUUAUCAGCUUGUUGGUGGGGUAGUGGCUUACCAAGGCUUUGACGGGUAGCCGGCCUGAGAGGGUGACCGGCCACAUUGGGACUGAGAUACGGCCCAGACUCCUACGGGAGGCAGCAGUGGGGAAUAUUGCACAAUGGGCGGAAGCCUGAUGCAGCAACGCCGCGUGCGGGAUGACGGCCUUCGGGUUGUAAACCGCUUUCGCCUGUGACGAAGCGUGAGUGACGGUAAUGGGUAAAGAAGCACCGGCUAACUACGUG